rnacentral:rRNA from 1 species
AAGUCGAGCGAACGGAUAAGGAGCUUGCUCCUUUGAAGUUAGCGGCGGACGGGUGAGUAACACGUGGGUAACCUACCUAUAAGACUGGAAUAACUUCGGGAAACCGGAGCUAAUGCCGGAUAACAUAUAGAACCGCAUGGUUCUAUAGUGAAAGAUGGUUUUGCUAUCACUUAUAGAUGGACCCGCGCCGUAUUAGCUAGUUGGUAAGGUAAUGGCUUACCAAGGCGACGAUACGUAGCCGACCUGAGAGGGUGAUCGGCCACACUGGAACUGAGACACGGUCCAGACUCCUACGGGAGGCAGCAGUAGGGAAUCUUCCGCAAUGGGCGAAAGCCUGACGGAGCAACGCCGCGUGAGUGAUGAAGGUUUUCGGAUCGUAAAACUCUGUUAUUAGGGAAGAACAAAUGCGUAAGUAACUGUGCGCAUCUUGACGGUACCUAAUCAGAAAGCCACGGCUAACUACGUGCCAGCAGCCGCGGUAAUACGUAGGUGGCAAGCGUUAUCCGGAAUUAUUGGGCGUAAAGCGCGCGUAGGCGGUUUCUUAAGUCUGAUGUGAAAGCCCACGGCUCAACCGUGGAGGGUCAUUGGAAACUGGGAAACUUGAGUGCAGAAGAGGAAAGUGGAAUUCCAUGUGUAGCGGUGAAAUGCGCAGAGAUAUGGAGGAACACCAGUGGCGAAGGCGACUUUCUGGUCUGUAACUGACGCUGAUGUGCGAAAGCGUGGGGAUCAAACAGGAUUAGAUACCCUGGUAGUCCACGCCGUAAACGAUGAGUGCUAAGUGUUAGGGGGUUUCCGCCCCU